UGAGGAAUAUUGGUCAAUGGGCGAGAGCCUGAACCAGCCAAGUAGCGUGCGGGAUGACGGCCCUAUGGGUUGUAAACUGCUUUUAUAUGGGAAUAAAGUGAGGGACGUGUCCCUUAUUGCAUGUACCAUACGAAUAAGGACCGGCUAAUUCCGUGCCAGCAGCCGCGGUAAUACGGAAGGUCCAGGCGUUAUCCGGAUUUAUUGGGUUUAAAGGGAGCGUAGGCUGUUUGUUAAGCGUGUUGUGAAAUGUAAGAGCUCAACUUUUAGAUUGCAGCGCGAACUGGCAGACUUGAGUGCGCACAACGUAGGCGGAAUUCAUGGUGUAGCGGUGAAAUGCUUAGAUAUCAUGACGAACUCCGAUUGCGAAGGCAGCUUACGGGAGCGCAACUGACGCUAAAGCUCGAAGGUGCGGGUAUCGAACAGG
rnacentral:rRNA from 1 species